AGGUGGCAUUUGCCGUUAAAGGACAGCGGAAGUAUUGAGAAACCGGAAGGUUACGAGGGGCUACAGGUGUUGUUGCCCCGGGAAGCUUAAAGUUUUUGACCGUGAUCAUGGCGGAAAAGGAGCUAAAAUGCAAUAUGUGUUAAACUGAACAUUGUUGUUGUAAAUAAAAGAAGCAAGAAAACCACGGAGAUUGUAAAUCAUCUGUAGUCAUUUCGUGUCAGAUACGUAAAGAAAAGCCAGUGGCGCGCCUCAAUUAUACGCCGGCCCGGCUACACCAAGCGGCUUAUUGGAAAGCCGUUACACAAAAGCCAAAAAACUGCUUCUAAGAACAUUGAAACGUAUCGACACGCUUAGCCAGCAAGUGACGGUUGUUGGAGGUUCCGUGCAUUGGAUCAAUAACUCGUUUGCGGCGAACGUGCUGCGGGAUUAGGACGCCGACUCGACGGAUCUGGGUUGCGGCACGGCAGACAUCCGACAGGACGCCGACGGGCUUGCGGGAGGCGGUGGACGCCGACUGGAUCGCGGAAGGCGGUGGACAGGACGUCGAAUCGCCAGAAUGGAACUCAGUGGCGGCCAUGACUCUGGACUCAGCAGGACCGGAUUGGACGCCGAUCAGCUGUGAGUCUUCCUCACGAGAGCGUCAGCUUUCCACUGCCUCUGUUGUGAUUUUCUACUGAUAAUCAAGGGAUGGAGAAAAGAAAGUCUUCGAUCUGCAGCAGGCUGUAGCAGAGCUAAGCAGAUGGCAGGAGAAUGAAAACACCUUGAGGAGACGACAGAAGGAGGAACAACUGAGAGAAGAGAAGCGAGGCCUUGAAUGCAGCACUGAAAGAGAGGGUCUAGGCUCUGGAGACCAGUUAAAACAACAGUCCGAGCAAUGAAAAGCUACUUUCAUCUGGACUACACAUCCAGUUCCCACCACAAGCUUAGGUAUCAGUGUGUGGGACAUGAUGGAGAGGGCACCGCAGUGUGUAUAAAGCCGACCAUCUGGCAUCAUAAAAAAAAGCUGUGAACACUGAGGCCCCACAGAGUAUCCAUCACACGAGACAAACACAAGCAACUUUGAAUAGUAAUUGUCAAGACUGGCUUGUGUGUUUGUUUCAACAGAACUUUCUGCCAGAAGAAGCAUAAAUGUGUGAAAUCCGAGCUUUUGAUUAUCAUAUAUCACCAUUUCCAGGACAGGUUGAUAUGAACAUUUUGUGCACCUGCUCAGAUCAACAUGUCCUUUACAAGCUGAAUUUCCUAACACAGUAUUUGCAUCCCCGUUUGCUCCCAAACCUUUAGAAGUGAUAGCUCAACAUUACUGGAAAGACACUUUAUUUUGGCUGUAUUUUGGCUUUAGAUGAGAAGAUUGCUGCCACUUAAGUCAUUAAAUAUGAAGCCAGUCAGUUUGCUUUGCUUAGCAGAAAGACUUUCCAGAGAUGAUAAAAUCCACCUAGUAGCACCUCCAAGGCUCACUAAUUAACACAUUAUACUGUCUGUGUUUAAUCCUUACAAAACCAUUGUGUAAAUAUGACAAGUUGUGGUUUUAUGGGGUGAGGGUGGGGUUAGGUGCCAGACUUUCUGGGCCAGAAGCGUCAUCGAGUUCCAGCUUCUUCCAAAAUAUGAUGAUGUGUUGCUUUUCUCUGUUGUCUAUUAUUGUACUUAGA